AUCACACAUAUACGAAAAUUGGAACCAUACAGGGAAGAUCAACAUGGCCCCUGUGAAAGGCUAACAAGCAAAUUCGUGAAGCAUUCCAUAUUUGC
rnacentral:snRNA from 1 species